CCGCGUGCUCGACGCCGCGGCCGACUCCUCCUUUGCCCUAACCGUCGCCGCGGGCGGUUUCUUCUUGCUUUUCUUUUAUUUCAUUCCCCUAAGCCCCGACGCCGUGCCUUAUUUCCUCUGCGCCGGAUCUUUCCUCUUCCUCGCGUGCCUAGCCGACAUUUUUCUUCCCUCUGUGCUGCCACCGAACUCAACAACCGACGCCGACUUCACUGCCGGCGCCGCCCGAUUACUGACUGCUCGUUUCUCCUCUCUUCUUCGGCCAUCUCCGCAUGGACGCACCUCGGCAGAGCACCCCCUUCACUGAUCUCUCUGUCAGUUUGAUCGCGCCGGCACCGUGUGUUCAUUUCGUUGUGCCCUAGAUUCCGAUGCGUGGUCGCCGCCGCACGGAGCAGCGCCGACCAUCGUUGGAGAUUUCUUGCUUCUGUGCCCUAGCCUUGGUCCAUUGCCGACGCCAGGUCCAACAGCCAUCUGCUGUGCCUUAGACUCCACUGACGGGUCUUCCUGCUUCGCCACCAGCUGCCGGUAGAGAGAAAAACAAGGGCUAUCGAGUUGGCAAGGUUUUCAGCCGUGUCAAUUGGAAAUUCUUCGACCUUGGAUUAAUAGUGAUACAUCCAGAUUUAGGACUGUGACACGAGACAAGUAUCUCGAUUGCAGAUUUGGACUUUCCUAUUGGAGGCGGGUACUUUUGACUUUAUGUCUUUGAUAUGCACAGUAGUGAAUUUAACAAGUAGCAAUAAUUAUGUUCUCUUAUUUGUUUCGGUUAAUCACUAC